rnacentral:rRNA from 1 species
UAAAAAAGACCACCUUCGGCCUGACAAGAGAGCGUAAGCGUGGGAGUGUGUGAGUGUGCAUCGAGAACCUAUAAGAGUUUUUUUUUUGCGUGGAGAACUACCUAGGGGGGAAAAGUAGAGGAAGGUAGGGGAGCGAGGUUUUAAGAAGGUCGGUUCGUAACACCAUCAAGGGUUGUUGUGGAGUCAAGGUGAGAACUAAGGAACGGCCCUGGAACGAGCAGGAGUGAACGUGCGUGGAGACGUCCAGCCGAGUGACCACGCCGCUGCCCCACCCGAACCGAGGGACAUGCGUAGCAGCUAGAGAGUCCGGCCAGUUGUCGCUGCCUACCCAUCAUCCCGAGCUACUCUUCGACACGGUACGUCCUACGCUCGAAUAACUAGAACCGACAAAGUAACAGCAGUCGCAGGAAGCUCCGCUACGUCCGCACCUAGAACAGAGGGCGUCGGUAGAACCUAGGUGUAACCAACACUCCUACGACUGCCGCAACAAAAAGUAACGUAGCACCGACAGGGGCUCGUUCCGUCGGCCCGUCCAGCAGAAGUAGGAGCUGUGAACGUCUGACUUAAGCCGUUGAAUAAGAAGGUGGAUUUCCAGGGGGAAGAGGGAAAAGGACAGAAAGAGGGAAAGAGUUGUACACAUACCGAUUUGGUUAUAUUACACGUAAUUCCAUGUCGAACAAUCACUUUCUACAUUUAAUUAAACACGGGGGAGGUGGAAAAAACAUGAACCCUGAACGUAGCCGUCUCCGGGGAGACGGGAUCAAGUAUAAGUUGUUUAAAUUAUUUAUUAAUCAAAUAAACACUAAUCGAUAUCAAAAUUCUAAAGGGUUUCUAUCUUAAUUAAAACUAUUCACUAUACUUUUCUCCACGAUAAUGUAAAACGUAUAAUUGAUAUUGUUAGGUACCUACAACAGUGCCAAUAUAACGUGUUAUACUAUUCGAAUUUUAUAGGCUAUUAUGUAUCACAGCUAUUAACUAUUAUAACUCGAUAAAGGUAACUUAUAACUACGUACAAAGCUUAUGAAGACCCUCAUCAUCUAGUAUAAACAGGGCGGCAUAGUACAAUAAUCGUAUCUUUUCAGUAAAAACGAGGUACAUGAAUUCCAAUAGAUUUUUCCGAUCAUCGUAGAUAUUCACGGACAAACCAAGGGUGGAAGUCUUAUAAAGACACAUCUGACAAGAACUGGUGUAGUAGGAGCAACAGUCAAGUAAAAGAUAUCUUUUCUUUUAUUAUCCACACUAUUUCAGUUGUCCCAUAAUGAACACGCACAAAAAGGUUUCAUAAGGGAAAGAGAAUGUAAACAGUACUUGAGGAACUCGAAAUACACCUUGUGAGCCAGUUGUUAUAGUCUAGAAAGACUAAGACGAACCGGAUGAAGGACAUCGUAUCUAACUUAGACACCGGUUCAACGUAACGUACACUUACAGUGUUUAUCCAGACACAUAGGUUCGGUGACUGUAUAACUAUAUCGUAGUACCAUCAAAACACGAAACAAAGAACCCGAUAGAAACUUCGAACUAACGUGUACCGUCAUCGUAAGAGGAAGUAUGGACCAGUUGGUAACAUAAAGAAAACGCAGAACGCCCUGUUGUAUAUUAAGACAAGAAUCCAAAGGAACAACAGAAAGCUAGGUCAGAUCGAUAAACAUGACGUUUUACAUACGUUCCCGUUACUUGACGUUAAAUCCGAAAAGUGUGUGGUCGUUCACAAAACUGUCCAAUCAUGUAACAACAUAUACUAAGAGUAUCAUAAGGUUGUUACAAUAUACGAAAGAGAAGGUGAAACGUGGAAGAAAAUUACACAUUACAUAUAAAAGAGAGAUGUGUAGAAGAGGCGACCCCUUAUUAUUAACUAUGACGUAUCCGUACUUACAACUUACCAAGAGACUAUAAGAACCCAGAGUACAGAAACAUCACUUGUUACAACAGGACAGGAAAAGAUAAGACACAACAUAGUAAGUGUUAGUUCCGACUUUGAUGUCAACGUCUACCGUACGGUACAGCAUAAUUAGAGUGCAACAUUAUCAGUAGAAAAGUUUAAAUAGGGAACGGUAAGAGUCACAAAAACGAUCAGAUAAUAGAGAUAGGUUGUAAAAAAUUCCGGGGGCUGUUUCACUCCUAGAGAACUGAGGGAAAACAGAAGACUACAACUGCACAGUUAGGACUAAAAUGGAGUAAACAUCGCAGUAUACACAUGUUGAGGCAACACGCACCAAGCAGGAAUGGAAGUCCAUUAUCUCAUGGAUAAGACACCAUAAAAACCGGUAAGUACUGUUUAUAUAUUGCAGGCACCGGUAACAAAUAAAGACACAGAUGGUAAGGAGGGUAACUGCACUUUCGCUUGUACCUCAACAAGUUUGACUAUAAAACGUACAUCAAAAAGGUGGAGGAAGGCAACACAAAGGAAUUUUUUAAGCAUGCCAAUCGGCCGCCGAGAGGACUACCACCGUUCAGUUGGAACGGGGCAACCGUCGGAUCGGGUUUUCUACCGUACGAAGAGCGAGAUGGACUCCAACAAAGAAGCAUUGUCUCUUAACGUAGUGUAGUGAGUGUGAACGUCGAACCCAAAGGCUGCAACGGAUUAAAGGUAUAAGCAGGAGAGACUACAGGACAAGUUCUAAAACUUAAGUCGUAGUUAAAUUUACAAACAUUACAGACCAACAAGAAGAAGUAUGAUUUGUUUGUUUAAAGUAUCUUGAAUGUAGAGACCUCAAAGAAAGGGAUAGGAGCAAAGAUACAACAUGUGUAACACAAUGAAAAUCAGGACAUGCGCACGUAUUUUCUUUAUGGUCCAAGUACUUAUAGGUUUAACAUCUAGAACUAACUUGAAAGAACAAUGAAUGGAGAAUCAGUAAGGUCGGACUGAAUAAUAACUUAAGAAAACACAGUGACCAAGACGUAACGAGAAAGAAACAUAAAAAAUAAAAGGGUAUAUCAGAAUGGAUAGAUCGAUAGAGACAACUUAAUGGUCGGGACGUAUUUGUAUUUAUGGUAAAUAAUCUUUACUCUAUUAAAAAGACGCUGUACACGUUAAAUAAUGAACAUCAUCAACAGUUUCAGGUACAACUUACGGAUAUGUACUAUACCAAGGGACGCCGUUAAUUUUUUACGACUAAAACGGGGACAGAACCAAUUCGGUAUGAUGUACCGUUACACAAGAGUACAAAAAAACUGUUUCUUUAUUAACUAUCAAAAAGACGUUCUUGCUUACAUUGUACAAAAGAAAUGAAAUUAUGUGGUGAAAUUUAAUCGACAUCUAGUAUACCUUUACGUAUCCGGCUGCCCGCACUAUUGGUAAACGCAUGCCAUUUGACACAUUCUAGUCUAUAAACAUGUAGUUUAUAUGACCCAUAAGUUAUUUGAAAACAUUCGUACCUUUCUUACCUUGUGUAUCUAUCGUGUUAACUACACGUUUCGUCUUCGUUCGAUAUUAUGAUAAAGCUUAUAUGGAAUAAUGUCAGCACGUAGUACGUUCUCUUCAAAUCGUCAACUUAAGUCUUGUCAUACAUUUCUAUCACCUACUAUUAUGUGUAUUCCUUUAUUCAAACAUUUCUAAAAGAAGGGCGUGCACCAAGUCUCCAAGAAGAAAACCGUAUUAACACGUCAGACCGUGUAGAGGUACAUACUAGUUAAAAAAAAAGAAAAAGAACAGAACUACAAAGUAAGAGCACAGGAUUGAAAAGUAACAAAUAACUGAUCUAACUGUAGUCAUUCUAUAUUAAACUUUAUAAAGGGGGCAGGUUCGAAUUUAGUGUUUGGGUACACACGGAUGAACUUAGAGUUUAGGUUCGAAUAAAAGAAGAAGAAUACUACGGUGGAUAACUUCUAGUACCAAUCAUUACCUAGUUGAACAACAUAACGUAUAAACUAAGAAAAUUGGUUGAACCUUCUAAAGUGUGUAAAAACGAUACUUCGGGUGGAAAAUAAAGGAAACAAAGAAGGACGUGUUACCUCUUACGUGUAUAAUGACUUCUUCUACUCUUUAACAUUUUAGCAAUACCUCAUGACGAGUUCCAAUACUUCUAAAUACUAAAACCAUCAAAAAAGACGAAUGUUUUUAAAGCAGAAAGAACAUCUUCAUUUCCUCUAGUUAAAGGUCCUGGUCACCUACAAUUCAAGGUUAGAAGUAAACUUUUCUGUUUAUAAUACCAUGAACGGCCUCCACAAGACGAGCGAGCUACCUCGGCUACCGUGUUAGUUCCUCUAAACCCGUGAGCGAUCACUCUCAAGAACAAAAAUCCCUUUCGGUAGUACUGGCACAUAUAAAUAGAUCUUAUUAUCAACACAUAUAACUAGACCUUAUUAUCGAUGUAGUAGACAUUCUUGCCGUUCAUUUUUUCGACCCUAAACGAACAGUACCUAUAUACUCAGGUUAGUUAGCACUCAAAACAAAAACCUGGUACUCUAACCAACAUUCUAACCACACUUCUUGUACCGUACCUACCAUUUUAACUAGGACUCUCACAUA